rnacentral:lncRNA from 1 species
AUGCACUCGGGGAUACUAAGACUAUAUGCACUGGUUUGUUAUUGUAGGGUCACUCAGGCUGCUAUGCACUCGGGGAUACUAAGACUAUAUGCACUGGUUUGUUAUUGUAGGGUCUCUCAGGGCACUGGUUUGCUUAUCACAGGGUCACUUAGGAUACUAAGGGCAAUGCACACUGAUUGGUUAUUACAGGGUCACUCAGAGGCACUGGGGCUCCACAUGCUGGUCUAUUAUUGUAGGAUCACUCAGAGGCAUGGGGGCUCAAUGCUCAGGUCUGUUAUUGUAGGGGCACUGGGGCUCCACAUGCUGGUUUGUUAUUGUAGGGGCACUGGGGCUCCACAUGCUGGUUUGUUAUUGUAGGGGCACUGGGGCUCCACAUGCUGGUUUGUUAUUGUAGGGUCACUCAGAGGCACUGGGGCUCCACACUCCGGUUUGUUAUUAUAGGGGCACUGGGGCGCCACAUGCUUGUUUGUUAUUGUAGGGUCACUCAGAAGCACUGGGGCUCCACACGCUGGUUUGUUAUUGUAGGGUCACUCAGAAGCACUGGGGCUGUAUAUCCACAGCCCUCAAAACUGCUGGGGGGUUGGGCCUGCUUUGUUAGUGUAAGGUCUUUGUCCUUCCUGGGGGCCACGCUUGCUAGUUAGUUAGCAUAGGGCUGCUCUGGAGCCCUGUUAUUGCUUGUUAGCAUGGCUAGGGUUCCGUCAUUAGUGCAGGCUCUUCAAGUGCUGGGGCUUCAGGCUCAAGGGGGUGAGUUCAGUGUCUCAGGUUCAGUGGGUUUGUAGGUUUCCUAAUGAGGAGUUUGCAUAGGGCACAUGUUAUCGCAGGGUCCGUGCUAGGACUUGGCCCACAAUUGUUUGUUAUUGCAGGGUUGCUGAGAAGCAUGGGAGGGGUUGCAUGUGGUGGUUUGUUGUUAGCUGGUGGGUUGCUGAUGAGCUCGUGGGCAGGUUGCAUAAGGUGGUUUGCUAUCAGUAGGGUUGAGGACCAGAGGGGUUGAUUACAGUAGUUUGUUAUUGUAGGGUUGCUGGCAAGCGGGGGGUAGUGAACAGUGGUUUGUUAUCGUAGGGUUGCUGACAAGCACGGUGAGGAGGUAGCAUACAGUGAUUUGCUAAGGUAGGAUGACUGAGAAGCAUGAGGUGGGAGCAGGGAACAUGUAUAAAGUUGUUAGUUAUUGGAGGGCCACUUGUAGCCUUAAGUCUCCACUCCUGGAGGCUCCAGCCCCUCAGUCCUUCCCCUCCCCCCAUGGCUGAACAGACACUCCAGAACUGAGCUCGUGCCCAGGAGAUUGGGGUCCGCAACAUACAGCCUUUCCCAGGGCUGGUGGGCUUGUUUGCGGGAGUCAACUGGAGGAUCUCAUUGGGGA